AAUAGAUACCCUGGUAGUCCACGCCGUAAACGAUGAGUGCUAAGUGUUAGAGGGUUUCCGCCCUUUAGUGCUGCAGCUAACGCAUUAAGCACUCCGCCUGGGGAGUACGGUCGCAAGACUGAAACUCAAAGGAAUUGACGGGGGCCCGCACAAGCGGUGGAGCAUGUGGUUUAAUUCGAAGCAACGCGAAGAACCUUACCAGGUCUUGACAUCCUCUGACAACUCUAGAGAUAGAGCAUUCCCCUUCGGGGGACAGAGUGACAGGUGGUGCAUGGUUGUCGUCAGCUCGUGUCGUGAGAUGUUGGGUUAAGUCCCGCAACGAGCGCAACCCUUGAUCUUAGUUGCCAGCAUUAAGUUGGGCACUCUAAGGUGACUGCCGGUGACAAACCGGAGGAAGGUGGGGAUGACGUCAAAUCAUCAUGCCCCUUAUGACCUGGGCUACACACGUGCUACAAUGGAUGGUACAAAGGGCUGCAAGACCGCGAGGUCAAGCCAAUCCCAUAAAACCAUUCUCAGUUCGGAUUGU
rnacentral:rRNA from 1 species